rnacentral:ncRNA from 1 species
AGCAAUUUGGAAGAACGUAUAAUAAAUAAAUUAUUUAAAGUUCUAGAUAAAAUAUUUAUAAUGACUAUUUUUUAUCUAUAAGUCUUGGCCAAAUUACGUGCCAGCAGUCGCGGUAAUACGUAAAAGACGAGUGUUAUUCAUCUUUAAUCGGUUUAAAGGGUACCUAGACGGAAAAUCAAGCUUAAUUAAACUAAGGACUAGUUUUCUAGAGUUUGACAUGAGAAGGUACGAACUAUCAGAGGAGAGAUAAAAUUUGUUGAUACUGGUGGGACGGACAACGGCGAAGGCAAUCUUCUACUAAAAACUGACGUUGAGGGACGAAGCCUUGGGGAGCGAGAAGGAUUAGAUACCCUAGUAGUCCUUGGAGAAAAUUAUGAGUGCCAUAGACUAAAGUGAAAAAGAAGUUCUUUUAAAAGAACUUUGUAUCUGAGCCUUAAUUGGAUACAAAGGUCUCGAGUAGCAGUUUAUAAAUGAAAGUGUAAGCAUUCCACCUCAUGACUAAAGCGGCAACGCCCAAAUUGAAAUCAUUAGACCGUUUCUGAAACCAGUAGUGAAGUAUGUUAUUUAAUUCGAUAACCCGCGAAUAACCUUACCACGUUUUGAAUUUAUUAAACAAGUGUUGCACGGCUGUCUUCAGUUAAUGUCGUGAGAUUUUGGUUUGUUCCAUUAAUUAACGAAAACCCUUGUUUCAUUUUUAUAUGAAAUAGUUCACCGUUAUAUUGGAAAGAUAAAAGGGAUCAAGACAAGUCAUCAUGGCCUUAAUAACGUGGGCUAUAGACGUGCUGCAUAUACCUAACAAAAGGAAGCAAUAUUGUAAAAUAAAGCUAAUCCUUAAAAGAGGAUAUAACUAUUUGUGGAUUGUAGUCUGUAACUCGACUACAUGAAUAAGGAAUUACUAGUAAUCGUGAAUCACCACGUCACGGUGAAUUUAAUCUCAGUUGGGUACUAACCACUCGUCAGGCGCUGAAAGGGGCAUAUGCAAAAAGUUUGGUUGUAUAUCUUCUUAUUUUAUUUACACUUAGGUAAAUUUUAUUUUUAUACUAAUCUUCGUAUGUGUGGCCUUGAUUGGUGUUAAGUCGAAAUACGGUUCGUGUAAUGGAAAUUGCACGGGUUAUAUUAUCCUU